rnacentral:misc_RNA from 1 species
GAUGAAAAACGUAGCGAAAUGCGAUACGUAAUGUGAAUUGCAAAUUCAGUGAAUCAUCGAGUCUUUGAACGCACAUUGCGCCCCCUGGUAUUCCGGGGGGCAUGCCUGUCCGAGCGUCAUUGCUGCCCUCAAGCACGGCUUGUGUGUUGGGCCCCGUCCUCCGAUCCCGGGGGACGGGCCCGAAAGGCAGCGGCGGCACCGCGUCCGGUCCUCGAGCGUAUGGGGCUUUGUCACCCGCUCUGUAGGCCCGGCCGGCGCUUGCCGAUCAACCCAAAUUUUUAUCCAGGUUGACCUCGGAUCAGGUAGGGAUACCCGCUGAACUUAAGCAUAUCAAUAAGCGGAGGA